rnacentral:rRNA from 1 species
AACCUAGUUGUGCGUGUGUAAAGGUAGUGCCAAGAAAAGCGAUGAUCAUGUUGAAAAUCAAUUCCCGGUACCCGAAACCGACACAGGUGGGCAAGUAGAGAAUACUAAGGGGCGCGAGGUAACUCUCUCCAAGGAACUCGGCAAAAUGACCCCGUAACUUAGGGAGAAGGGGUGCCACCGAGAGGUGGUCGCAGUGAAGAGGCCCAGGCGACUGUUUAGCAAAAACAUAGGUCUCUGCAAACUCGAAAGAGGAGGUAUAGGGGCUGACGCCUGCCCAGUGCCGGAAGGUUAAAGAAGUUGGUCAGUUUUAGGAUGAAGCUAGCGACUGAAGCCCCGGUGAACGGCGGCCGUAACUAUAACGGUCCUAAGGUAGCGAAAUUCCUUGUCGGGUAAGUUCCGACCCGCACGAAAGGCGUAACGAUCUGGGCGCUGUCUCGGAGAGAGGCUCGGCGAAAUAGGAUUGUCUGUGAAGAUACGGACUACCUGCAUUUGGACAGAAAGACCCUAUGAAGCUUUACUAUAGUUUGGAAUUGUGUUCGGGCUUCCUGUGCGCAGGAUAGGUGGGAGGCGUAGAAGGUAUUCUUGUGGGGAUACUGGAGCCAACGGUGAGAUACCACUCUCAGGAGGCUAGAAUUCUAACUUAAUUAAGGACAGUUUCAGGUGGGUAGUUUGACUGGGGCGGUCGCCUCCAAAAAGGUAACGGAGGCGUACAAAGGUUCCCUCAGACUGGUUGGAAAUCAGUCGAAGAGUGCAAAGGCAGAAGGGAGCUUGACUGCGAGAAGUACAGUUCGAGCAGGGUGGAAACACGGUCUUAGUGAUCCGACGGUGCUGUGUGGAAGGGCCGUCGCUCAACGGAUAAAAGUUACUCUAAGGAUAACAGGCUGAUCUCCCCCAAGAGUUCACAUCGACGGGGAGGUUUGGCACCUCGAUGUCGGCUCAUCGCAACCUGGGCGGAAGUACGUCCCAAGGGUUGGGCUGUUCGCCCAUUAAAGCGGUACGUGAGCUGGGUUCAGAACGUCGUGAGACAGUUCGGUCCAUAUCCGAUGUAGGCGUGAGAAUAUUGAGAGGAGCCUUCCUUAGUACGAGAGGACCGGGAAGGACGCACCGCUGGUGUACCUGUUAUGAUGCCAAUUGUAAACGCAGGGUAGCCAAGUGCGGAGAGGAUAACCGCUGAAAGCAUCUAAGUGGGAAGCCCACCUCAAGAUGAGUAUUCUGGUGUAAGGUCACGGGAAGACGACCCGUAAAUAGGCACGAGGUGGAAGUGCAGAGAUGUAUGAAGCCGAAGUGUACUAAUAGACCGUCGGC